rnacentral:lncRNA from 1 species
UCAGGAUUAAAUGUUCUAGCAAGGAAACAUGAAGCUGGUCCAACGUGCUGCUGGGAUGGCUCCUUGAAGCUUGAACAUGAUGACCUUCAGCAAAGGAGGUGGAGAUGUACAGAGGAGGAGACCGUUAGUUCCCUGAGUGAAGAGAUGCUAUCUUGGUAUCUCCAGCUUCCAACCGGGGGCUUGGCACAGAAUAGGGGCUUGGUAAAUGUUUUCCAAAUGAAUGGGAUGUCUGAUGGAAAGAAGACAAGGUGAAGGAAUUCCUGGGUAAUAUGGAGAUGAGAAUCUGUGAGAAGGAUACAUGUACUGAUGCCUGUCGCGGUGGACACACAGACGCACACAUUGCGGAACACCACCAGUGAGUCACAUUUUGGAUGCUUGCCCUUGUAUUCUGGUAGAUACUGUGAUGGUAAAAAACAUGAAGAACAUAAUUUGAAUUUUAUGCUGGUGAGGGUCAAAGCAGACUUCAAAAGCACUGUAAUAUUUAUUGCAAGAGGAGCAACUUACCUGUGGAGUCACUGUCAUCCUAGUCUCUGUUGACUGAUAAUGAAUUAUAUUGCUUUAAAGCUGGAAAACAUUGCCAGCAACUGGCUUGCAUCUAGACCUGGCAAAUUCUUUUCUUUUAAAGUUUUGGUGUAAAAAUCUACCAUGUCUUAUGACUUUAAUUUGUCUAGCUUAGAUAGAAGUCCCCAAUUUAUCAUUUCUCAUUCCUAAUCCUUCGAGAUGUUUUGAAUAAAAAAAUGUUGCACUGACAGGUAAGUUUGGAAACAAGCUAUAUAUGUUAUUCUGUAAUGAAAAACUUAAAUGUGCUUUGGAAUAUUAAAAAGUCCUAAGAAUUACUGACAUAAAGAAACUUUGUUUAAACCUGGUCUUUCCUGAAUUUACUUGACCAGCUGGCUAUUUUUUUCCCUUUAACCC